UACGUAGGUGGCAAGCGUUGUCCGGAAUUAUUGGGCGUAAAGCGCGCGCAGGCGGUCUUUUUAAGUCUGAUGUGAAAGCCCCCGGCUCAACCGGGGGAGGGUCAUUGGAAACUGGGAGACUUGAGUGCAGAAGAGAAGAGCGGAAUUCCACGUGUAGCGGUGAAAUGCGUAGAGAUGUGGAGGAACACCAGUGGCGAAGGCGGCUCUUUGGUCUGUAACUGACGCUGAGGCGCGAAAGCGUGGGGAGCAAACAGG
rnacentral:rRNA from 1 species